rnacentral:rRNA from 1 species
GUGGGUAGUUUGACUGGGGCGGUCUCCUCCUAAAGAGUAACGGAGGAGCACGAAGGUUGGCUAAUCCUGGUCGGACAUCAGGAGGUUAGUGCAAUGGCAUAAGCCAGCUUGACUGCGAGCGUGACGGCGCGAGCAGGUGCGAAAGCAGGUCAUAGUGAUCCGGUGGUUCUGAAUGGAAGGGCCAUCGCUCAACGGAUAAAAGGUACUCCGGGGAUAACAGGCUGAUACCGCCCAAGAGUUCAUAUCGACGGCGGUGUUUGGCACCUCGAUGUCGGCUCAUCACAUCCUGGGGCUGAAGUAGGUCCCAAGGGUAUGGCUGUUCGCCAUUUAAAGUGGUACGCGAGCUGGGUUUAGAACGUCGUGAGACAGUUCGGUCCCUAUCUGCCGUGGGCGCUGGAGAACUGAGGGGGGCUGCUCCUAGUACGAGAGGACCGGAGUGGACGCAUCACUGGUGUUCGGGUUGUCAUGCCAAUGGCACUGCCCGGUAGCUAAAUGCGGAAGAGAUAAGUGCUGAAAGCAUCUAAGCACGAAACUUGCCCCGAGAUGAGUUCUCCCUGAGACUUAGAGUCUCCUGAAGGAACGUUGAAGACGACGACGUUGAUAGGCCGGGUGUGUAAGCGCAGCGA